rnacentral:rRNA from 1 species
UACAGAGGUCCCGAGCGUUGUUCGGAUUCAUUGGGCGUAAGGGUGCGUAGGCGGCUUUCUAAGUCCGGUGUGAAAUCCUGGGGCUCAACCCUGGAACUGCAUUGGAUACUGGGAGGCUAGAGUACUGGAGAGGAAACUGGAAUUUACGGUGUAGCAGUGAAAUGCGUAGAGAUCGUAAGGAAGACCAGUGGCGAAGGCGAGUUUCUGGACAGUUACUGACGCUGAGGCACGAAGGCCAGGGGAGGCAAACGGG